GGCGGACGGGUGAGAAACACGUGGGUAACCUGCCUCAAAGAGGGGGAUAGCCUUCCGAAAGGAAGAUUAAUACCGCAUAAGCUUACAGCAUCGCAUGAUGCCGUAAGAAAAGGAGCAAUCCGCUUUGAGAUGGACCCGCGGCGCAUUAGCUAGUUGGUGAGGUAACGGCUCACCAAGGCCACGAUGCGUAGCCGACCUGAGAGGGUGAUCGGCCACAUUGGAACUGAGACACGGUCCAGACUCCUACGGGAGGCAGCAGUGGGGAAUAUUGCACAAUGGGCGAAAGCCUGAUGCAGCAACGCCGCGUGAGUGAUGAAGGCUUUCGAGUCGUAAAGCUCUUUGAUCAGGGAUGAUAAUGACAGUACCUGAAAAACAAGCCACGGCUAACUACGUGCCAGCAGCCGCGGUAAU
rnacentral:rRNA from 1 species